AAGCUGAAUUGAAAGUUCACUGGUUGCCUUGCACUGUGUGUGGCAAAACCUGGGAUGACACAUGGGAGCCUGCGAGUGAAUUCCAACACAUUGUGCCAAAGUCCCCACAUCCCAACCAGCUUUCAGCAUGACAACAUAGUCACCAUAGACACCUGGACUCAUCAAGCACCCUUCAAUGCAGUUUAUUUUUGAGUGUUUUUUCUUGCUGUUUGUUCUUCAGUAAAGUUUUUGCACAGUA